UACGGAGGGUGCGAACGUUAAUCGGAAUUACUGGGCGUAAAGCGCGCGUAGGCGGCCUGCUAAGUCGGACGUGAAAUCCCUCGGCUCAACCGGGGAACUGCGUCCGAUACUGGCGAGGCUUGAAUCCGGGAGAGGGAUGUGGAAUUCCAGGUGUAGCGGUGAAAUGCGUAGAUAUCUUGGAGGAACACCGAGCGAGGAGGCGCAUCCUGGACCGGCAUUGACGCUGAGGCGCGAAAGCCAGGGGGAGCAAACGGG
rnacentral:rRNA from 1 species